CAUGGGGCUUUACAAACUGAACUUGAACCACAAUGCUACAGUGAUUCUAAGACAUGAGCUUGAAUGCUGAAGGUUUUAUGCAGCCCAACGCCCUGCAGCAAGACACCCAAACACCCACCUGCGCUCAGUAGCCGAAACCCGUAUUCACUCUGCGGAUUUAACAGUCCACAGCAACAGCGAAAAAGUUUGCUUAAACCACCUCAGAGCAACACUAGAUUACAGGGGAGAAAUGAAUGAUCUCCAAGAGGAACGACGGAAGUAACCAAGCAAGACAUGAGAGCCUUCCAAGGAAGAUUCUGACAACCAGCUGCCAAGUUACUGGUACAGCACUUAGUAAAGAAAUUUGAGCAGUGCACAACUGAUGUGCUCAUUAUCAAAGUCUAAGAGGCAUAUUUAUUUGUUUGUUCACUGAUUGAGUCAUUCAACUAGCAUUGGCUGAGUGCCUAAAGUGUGCUAGGCACUGGGGGCUCAACAGUAAAUAAAGGAAAUGGAAUUUACAGA